rnacentral:lncRNA from 1 species
CCUCGGCAGGCUGACAGCCACCUGCACAGGGAAGCGAAGCAGGGAGAGGACUUUUCUUACUGCUCAGGACCCUGGGUCUCCCUUUCUCAAUCCUUCCGAUGAAGGAAGUGGUAACUGAGGUGAUUAUGACGGAAACAGCGGUCAGUCCACGCUUCCUCCGUGCGGCUGUUGGUGCCUUACAGACACCGGAGCCUCUGGGCGACCCUCUGCCUUGUGCACCCCUUAUAAUUACCAUCCCUGCUUACAGAUGAGCAAACCGGUUCUCGGAGAAGUCGAGUGACGCUCUCCAAAUCACACAGCAGACAUAAGGCAUCAGGGAAACUCAAAGGGCACACCGAACAGCGUUGUCCCUGGCCAGAUGGUGGGCAUCCGCACCCGGGAUCAACACACCCCUGGCCGCCCCCAAUCCCGACUGUCAAGAGACCAGAGUCCAGAGCAGAUCGGCACAGGUGCAAGCAAAACUGGGUGGAAAACAAGAGAAACAGAAGGAAAUGAAUCUCGGGAGGUGAAACUGGACUAUGGGUGUGCGCUGGCAAGUUGGGGCAGAAGAGGCUGUGUGCGAGCCAGGGGUGUGUGCAGGCAGGGAGGUGACAAGAGGCAGCGGGCGUGACCUCAUAGGAACUGUGUAUCCAUUAGAGGUGCUUGUCGCCAUGGAGACCAGACACAUGGGCGAGCCGGCCCAGGGAGGCAGAAAUAAAGGAGCUGUAAGGGACGGAUGUUCAAGGAGAGACAGAGUUACACGUUAACGUUGCCGAAGCCUUGGGGUGCAGGCAACUGCCAGGGUGUCCGCGGGAGAGGUGCCGCCGGGCAAGGACAGGAGCUGCAUGCCAGGGGGCUUCUGAGCUGGAUCGUCAGGAGAUGGGUGGCACCCAGCCCAGUGGGGGCCGAAAGGACCAGACACUCACUCACCCAUGCUCCCUGCAACCUGCGGCGGCCAGGCAGCAUCUGCCAGAGGCUUCUGGGAAUCAAGGUCCUCCCUGAUGAAAGCAGAUGAGCCUCAUCCCUGCCCCUCUUCUGCUCACCUGCUCAUGUGCUCCGCCCUCCUCCGGGGAUCCUGCCCUGUCCUUGGACGCCUUCCCCAGUGCCGUGUCCUUCAAGAAGCUCUCUUCGGUCCAGUCAGCCCUGACAGACUCCUUCCGGACCCUGCCCGUCCUCCACCCAGCCUUCUCCCACCUUCCCCAGGGCCCCUCCCUGGGGAAGGCCCUUCUGAUGCCUGCCCCAUCUCUUCCCAUGGUGACUUGCCUAUGUCACCUCCUCAGAGAAGCCCUCUCUGAUACACCAACAUGGGAGACCUCCUGUUAUUCUCUGUGGGGUUGACCGAAAUUUUUUCCUUUAUCAUACAGAUUUCCAUUUGUAACUGUUUUUCAUUCGUCUUCUUG